GACGAACGCUGGCGGCGUGCCUAACACAUGCAAGUCGAGCGAGUGAAUCUCCCUCGGGAGUGAAGCUAGCGGCGGACGGGUGAGUAACACGUGGGCAACCUGCCUCAUAGAGGGGAAUAGCCUUUCGAAAGGAAGAUUAAUACCGCAUAAGAUUGUAGCUUCGCAUGAAGUAGCAAUUAAAGGAGCAAUCCGCUAUGAGAUGGGCCCGCGGCGCAUUAGCUAGUUGGUGAGGUAACGGCGUCACCAAGGCGACGAUGCGUAGCCGACCUGAGAGGGUGAUCGGCCACAUUGGGACCUGAGACACGGCCCAGACUCCUACGGGAGGCAGCCAGUGGGGGAAUAUUGCACAAUGGGGGAAACCCUGAUGCAGCAAACGCCGCGUCGAGUGAUGACGGCC
rnacentral:rRNA from 1 species